CGACUAUAAUCCCUUGUGGGUCGCACACCCCACUGUGAAGGCAGUGGCACGCAUGGUUGCCUGCCCCUCCGUUCCCGAAUAAUAAAGCAAUUUCGUUCAACUAUUUUACGGCAAAAGGCGAUUACAAUUUUACUUAUUUUUCACUUUCCAAACCAAACGAAACCAAACCAAACCAAACCAAACCGAGCCGAGCCCCAAUCCUCCCCAGCACCAGCACCAACUGGGAGAGAGGUCUCUCUCCACUGCGGCACGCACAGAGUCAUAAAUUGUGGCCACAAAAGGCCAAGACGUUAAUGUGGUGACAAUAUUGCAUGCAACCGAGACUUGGAGUCUCGCUCGUACUCGUUGCUGCUGCUGCCGCUGCCGCUGCUGCUGCUGCUAGUGCUAGUGCUGCAGAAAAGCCGCUUUGCCGCCACAGCACAGUGCAUCAUCAGGCAUGGGGUCUAGAGCUGUGUGGCAGGGGCAUGGCCUGGGGUGGCAGUGAAUGCAGCUUAUCGUCGAUCAGGCGACGGGCAACGCUGUCCAGCACCAGCACCAGCCCCAGCCCCUGCCCCUGCCCCAACAUACUCCACUACCAUGGAGCGGACGUGACGACGCUCAAAAAAUGAUGACAGCUGUUGAUGAAGUUGACGAUUUCUAAAAAUGCGUGUAAAAUUAGUGUUAAAAAACAUGUCAAACUCAAUGUGACAGUUACAUUUUGACAUGACAACGCGACAACAAUUAUACUUUUGUCUGGUCCGGCAUCCAGCAAUACCAGAGGAGGACCAGUGCCGGUCCCCCGCUGCCCCAGCCAGAGACUUGGUUCAAGUCCAAGAGCAGGACCCUGGCCUCUGUGUUAAUUCAAUAAAUACUCAUACUUGUAGCUGCAUGGACAUUCUAACCAGCUCCACAGGCAGCACCACUCGAGUCGACUCCAUUCGAGGGAAGGAGCCGGAGCAGGAGCUGGAGCUGGAGCUGGAGCAGGAGCUGGGGCUGGGGCUGCAUUGUUUGCUUGCGUGGAACAUUUGCAUGCAACAAUCGGGUUGCAACCGGUUAAAGAUUGGCGGCACUUGCGGCCAAGCAUGUUGUACAUUUCAUAGUCCGCAGAGAUGACAGCCGCCACGAGGGAAUCGCACACGGAAUCACGCACGAGGCCCGACACGAAGGAGAGAGAGAGAGAGAGAGAGCCAUGCUCUUGGAAAAACUUUAAAUCCUUCUUUAGAGGGGCAUAGAAUAUUAUUGUUUUUCCCAUUUUAUAUCCAUAAUAAUCCUUUAAAUUACCUUUAA
rnacentral:sRNA from 1 species